rnacentral:rRNA from 1 species
UACAUGGGGUGCAAACGUUGCUCGGAAUUAUUGGGCGUAAAGCGCACGUAGGCGGUUUGUUAAGUCGGAUGUGAAAUCCCUCGGCUCAACUGAGGAAGUGCAUCCGAAACUGGCAGGCUUGAGUACUAAAGAGGGUCGCGGAAUUCCCGGUGUAGAGGUGAAAUUCGUAGAUAUCGAGAGGAACACCUGCGGCGAAGGCGGGUUGCUGGGCUGACACUGACGCUGAUGCGCGAAAGCUAGGGGAGCGAACGGG